GAUGAAGAACGUAGCGAAAUGCGAUAAGUAAUGUGAAUUGCAGAAUUCAGUGAAUCAUCGAAUCUUUGAACGCACCUUGCGCCCUUUGGACAUUCCGAAGGGCAUGCCUGUUUGAGUAUCAUGAACACCUCAACUCUCACGGCUUGUCCGUGAUGAGCUUGGACUUUGGGGGUCUUGCCGGCCUGUGGUCGGCUCCUCUCAAAUGGAUCAGCUUGCCAGUGUUUGGUGGCAUCACAGGUGUGAUAACUAUCUGCGCUUGUGGUUUUCCAUCAGAUAACCUUCAGUGAUAUGGAGGUUCGCUGGAGCUCACAAAUGUCUCUCCUUAGUGAGGACAGCUCUUCGAACGUUUGAUCUCAAAUCAGGUAGGACUACCCGCUGAACUUAAGCAUAUCAAUAAGCGGAGGA
rnacentral:misc_RNA from 1 species